UUGCUAGGUAAAGACCACCCUCCAGUCUUACACCAUUUGCCCACAGCUGCCAUAUUUCAGCCUCGAAUGGGAUCCAUUUAAUGAAAAAUGUCCAGCUUGGAGCUCCAUAGUUUUCCGGGAUGACUGGAAAGAAUAUACAACAGAUAUAUAUUUACCUGAAAUUUGCUCUAGUGACUCCCAGAUCCAUAAACACUUGUCACACUUCUGAUAGGACCAACAUGGUCUUGUUAACGCAGAGAGUCUUUACGUUAGGUAAAAGGACUGCAAAAACAUGUAUAAUCACAAACCUCUUAUAAUGAUUUCUUGGUAUAUCUUUGUACCUCCAGUUUACAGGACCUAGAAUUUCCUUUCUCUACCCUCAUUUCCCAAAGAAAUCCUGCUAACCACUAAAUAUAUUUUUCAUGCAGAUUUUCCUAAUUUCUAACCCUCCCAACUCCUCACCCCCACUCUUAACUCUCAGGACAUCACAUCAAAUUGCUUUCUCCUACAGUAGUUGUCCAUUUGUGAUAUGUAGUCUCUUAUGGCAGUCACUGUAUACUUACCUUACCCCACUGGAUGGCAGAAUUAUGCUUUUUUUAAUCCCUGUGUCUCUUCCGAUGCCUGGCAUUUGAACAUAGGAGAUGCUUAACAGAGACACUGAAUUGAACUAAGAAAAAAAAAGCUGAGCUCAUGAUUCCAGUGUGAUUUCUUAAUACUAUCUUAAUUGUCUCCUAAUAAGGCAUUCAAUUAGUAAAUGCUUGUAAAAUGAAUGCAGAAAUCGUCAAAUAUGAUGACUCCAUAUAGAAAUAUUUUUACAUUUCUUCCUCUUCGUAAAUUGUAAAACAUUUAAAUGUCAAAAGCUUUCUUUGGGGAUGGAAGACAGUGUUCAAAAGCACAAGAAUCCUUUUCUUUCUCCUCAAGAUUAAAUUCUCUUUCCAUUCUACCUCUUAUUUUCCAUUGCUCCUGUCUCCAGAAUUUCAAACAAAAAACAACAAAUAAAACAAACAAGCAAAAACAAAAACAAAAAAAGCAAUGGCCUCUGGAAAUUAAAAGAAACAUUAAGAAUAUAAAAUAAGUGGGUGGAAUACCAACUAUCCUAUUGGUUGUUACAAUUAAUUCUAUAGCUAGCAAUUCGACCUAUUUUUUUUCUGAUUAAAAUCAUUGCAGAAAAUAGCUGUAGUUUUUUAAAGGUCUCUUUUUCUAAAGCUUGCAGGUUGUGUCCUUGUAGCACAUGGGGGCUCUAGUGCCCGUGCCAUGAACAGAAUGGAUUCAUUAACCUUUAUAUUGAUUUGAAUUGUCGUUCGAAUAAAUAUUUAUACCCGUUUUCCCUGAGGGCUUAAUGAAGUCCUUUAUCAAUAGCACCAAGAGUUUCUCCCCUUGACCUUUGUCAUCCAUUCGUUCAGAAAAUUUUCAUCAAGCUGUUUUGUUUGCAUUGUUAAUCUCUUCCUGCCUUUGUCAGGUUUGGCACAGAAAAAUAUUCAUCCUGGAUUCCGUAGAAUUAUUUUACACUAUUUGGACUUCUGCAGAGAAGAUCAAUUCUGUCUUUGAGUUUCCUGUUUUACCUUCAAGACUGAAGCAUUUCCAGUUUCUCCAUAUUUGUCUUUCUGCUUUUUGUCUGCCUGUAGAGUAUUUCUCUUGUUAUUCUUUAUACGUGAUUACUUCAGUUUCAAUUUUUGACACCACAGUCUCCUAAAAGACAGAAGAGGUGUUAGAUAAUGCUAGGGUGGGAAAUGUUUUGCAGUACACAUGCAUCAAAUUUGCAGUUUGUGUAUCAAAUUGACACCUUGUACACCUUAAAAUUACACAACAUUGUAUGUCCAAUAUACCUCUAUACAGCUUGAAGGAACAAAAGAUAGAGUUAGAGCCAGAGAAUAUCUUUGUUCAGCUGUCUCCACAUCUUAGCAAUGAACAUUUUUAGUGCCGGGAGAAAAGACAAGGGUUAUUAUAUGCCAAACAUGGUGUUCAGUGUCGUGUGUAUUAUUCUAUUUCAUCCUCAAAGUGCCCUUAGGGAAAGCACACUGCUCCAUUCUAGAUGAGGAGGCUGGCGCUUACAGAAUUCAUGUAAAUUGCCCAGACACAGACCCGGUAAGUGGGCUCAUUGAUCCCAGGAUGUAGUUCUGCCACUUACUAGGCGUGUGACCUUGGGCAAAUUACUCAACCCCUCUGUGCCUCAAUUUCCUCAUUGGUAAAAUGGAGGUAAUCAUAGUUCCUUUCUGUACUAGUGUUGUGAGGUGACUGUGGAUUAAAUAAAUUAGACUAAAUAGAGCUCUUGUCGUGUGCCUAAUAAGUACUAAGAGCUAUUUAGGUUACACUUAUUUACUUACUGGUUAUACUGAAUCGUAAUGUCUUUUCUAGUUUUCUUGAGUGGAGGGGGGAAGUAUUAUAGGAGAAGAGAUCAGCAAGAAAUCCAGUAGCUCUUCCCAGUCAUGUUUUUCCCCUCCAUUCCCCAAUGGGGGGCCAGGUUUCCUCCUUAUUUGCGAAACAGAAUGAAUAUUACUAUUCUGUAUUGAGUUAAAUGUUUCAUUCCUUUAGUCUAUUCAGAGCCUUCUUCCUGGAGACUCAGUUGCUUACUUUCAUACUCAUUCUGGUUUUUAGAAGAGUGGAAAUAUUUGGCUAUCACCUUCAGCAAGCCAUGCACUUGGUUUCUGUAUUAGAGUUUGAUAAGUGGUUCUUUUGUUGUAAAGAAAAGGUAACCUAUUUGUAGAAACUUCCUUUGGAGAAACAAUCUUUCUUCAAAACCUAAGCUGUAGAAUUUUUUUUUCUGUUUUGAGCUGUAUAUAAGUGUUAAUAGCUGGGUCCAGAAGAAAAGGCACAUUAUUAAGAAGCUUCAGUGAGAAGAAUUACAGACUCUUUGGUUUUUCUCCUUCUAUAUGCUAUCCUUUCACUGGAUGGGCCAAAGGAGCCAUGGAAACUAAGUGGAACCUGAUCAUGUUUUUUAUUCCUUUCAUUCCUGAGAUACUGGAGAGAAAAUGUCUUGCUAUCAUUACUGUUUUUUUUUUUUAGGCUGAGAAGUACCACUUAGAAAAAUAAUUAUCACAGGUACCUAAUUCAGACAACUUUUAUCACAGGUACCUAAUUCAGACAACUGAAUAGAAUUCCUCCUGUGGUUACAAAGAGAUUUGCUUACAUGCAAAUCUCAGGCAUGAAAGAAAGUAAUAUCUACUGGGGUGAAAACAAUCCUAGCAAUCCUAGAUUAAGGCUAAAAGAAAAUCAAAUCUUAAUGACAUGGUAGAAAAAUCCAUAUAGUUCAAUGAUUUGAAGACACAGAAAAUGUAGAAUACUUGAGAGCCUAGUUUACCUUGUGGCAAUUCAAUAUCCUUUAUACUAGUAGACAUGUGAUUUUUGUCUUCAUUCCAUUAAGCACAUAUUUUUAAUUUGAGUGUGGACUAGACAUAGGAAUAUAUUUUCAGGGAUAAGCACACAGUGGAAGAGGUGUCAUAAAGAUGCCAGGGACUGGAAGUAAAAAGAGGGAAUGAUCAAUGUCACCUUGAGGAGAAGGAUCAAUAAAUAUUCUAGAGGACAUCAAAAGAUAGAGAUUGGAAGAUCCUCACUAAGCAGAACCAAGCUGAUGCUUUUGGAAAUUCUUGAUACUAUAAAAAUUCCAAUCAAUAUAUUUGAGUUUAAAUUGAUCAGAGCUAAUUAGUGCUGGUUAAAAUCAGGUGCAGAUGACCAGACCGGAUCUUGAUGAGCCCUUUGAAUUGAACAGAACUAGGUGAAGCUGGUUUGGUUUCGUUGGGUAUGAUUUUAAACUACUUGGGGGUAAGUUCUAUCCAGUUGAGAUUUUUAAAAAAUAAUAAUGAAUUUGAUCUAAACCUAUUGUUGUAAUGAAGUGCAUUCUACGUUUGGUAUAUUAAGCAUCUAUCGCAUUUCGCCUGCAAGUUUUUUCCUGGGGCUUAUUGUUUGACUUUGACUUCCAUUUUUUUUUACCAAUAAUAGUUUAAUUUUUACAAGAAAUCAUGUUUUCCAUUGUGCCUUUUUUU